CCUACGGGAGGCAGCAGUGGGGAAUAUUGCACAAUGGGGGAAACCCUGAUGCAGCGACGCCGCGUGAGUGAAGAAGUAUUUCGGUAUGUAAAGCUCUAUCAGCAGGGAAGAAAAUGACGGUCCCUGAUUAAGAAGCCCCGGCUAACUACGUGCCAGCCGCCGCGGUAAUACGUAGGGGGCAAGCGUAAUCCGGAUUUACGGGGUGUAAGGGGAGCGUAGACGGCAGGACAAGUCUGGAGUGAAAUGCCGGGGCUUAACCCCGGAACUGCUUUGGAAGCUGUGUAGCUAGAGUGCAGGAGAGGUAAGUGGAAUUCCUGGUGUAGCGGUGAAAUGCGUAGAUAUUAGGAGGAACACCAGUGGCGAAGGCGGCUUACUGGACUGUAACUGACGUUGAGGCUCGAAAGCGUGGGGAGCAAACAGGAUUAGAUACCCCAGUAGUC
rnacentral:rRNA from 1 species